rnacentral:lncRNA from 1 species
UGAGUGGCUUUGCCCCUGGGCACAACACAAAAAAAACAUAAUCACACAGAAUUGCCCAAAACAUAUUUACAAUGAGGGUUAAGUUUUGUGUCUCUCAACACACAUUAUUUCCAUAACAAUAAAUAUGCAACAAAUAAAAAAUUACAAUAAAAAAAUGUGCAAACAAAAAAUAACAAAACAUGUGACACCACUUACAUUUCAACUAUGCGUGCAUAUAAAUUAA